rnacentral:tRNA from 3 species
GGGGUCGUAGCUCAGUUGGUAGAGCACCACAAUGGCAUUGUGGGGGUCGCUGGUUCGAUCCCAGUCGGCUCCACCA